CACCGUAUGCGUGGGGUCCACCACGUGUGUGGGGAAGCCCUUUCAUUUUCCUCCCAUUUCACAGAAGCAGACCAGAGAGAGCCUGUGACUUCCUCAAGACCACACAGCAUGCUAGGAGCAGAGCCAUUCUCUGUCCAGGAACUGGCACUUCCAUAUACCUAAGCACGUGUCUGAAGCCAUCCUAAACCCCUCCUUCACAUCCAUCAGAAUGAAGACAAAACCAUAAUGGCAGCCAAGCGUAUGAAAAAAAAGGGCAGAGCGAUGUUUCUUGUGCAAACCCUUCAUCCGUCACAUUCAAGGUUAAAAAGAGUCAGUCUAAUUAGAUCUGACAAGAAGUCAACCAGAAGAAUUUGCAGUUAUCAAGAAGACUCUAGGAAUGGAUUUACAGCCACUCUCAGUAAUGGGAACAAUGGACCUUGCCUUGAGAUUGACUGGCACCAUCAAUCAUCAGUAAUUUGAAAACAUUGUAUAUUUCAUUUGACCUCUUCCAAAUUUUCUAAUUUGUGUGUGUUCUUACGAUGUACAAAACAUAUUCAUGCAGCAGUACUAGGUGAUGACAUGUAAGUAUGGUACAUGCUUGAAAGAUGGUGUAU